rnacentral:ncRNA from 1 species
UUUAUACACACCGAGCUGUAACUACUAACGCUUUAUUGAACAAAUAUAAGGUUAAGUAUUUAUAAGCCGUAGCAAGGCCAUAGGGGCCGAGUUACCAGGGUUAACAAGGAAACAAGUUAGCCUCCCGACAUUUGGAAAGGUGAUAUGUUACAA